rnacentral:rRNA from 1 species
AUUGAACGCUGGCGGCAGGCCUAACACAUGCAAGUCGAGCGGCAGCGGGAAAGUAGCUUGCUACUUUUGCCGGCGAGCGGCGGACGGGUGAGUAAUGCCUGGGAAAUUGCCCAGUCGAGGGGGAUAACAGUUGGAAACGACUGCUAAUACCGCAUACGCCCCACGGGGGAAAGCAGGGGACCUUCGGGCCUUGCACGAUUGGAUAUGCCCAGGUGGGAUUAGCUAGUUGGUGGGGUAAUGGCUCACCAAGGCGACGAUCCCUAGCUGGUCUGAGAGAGUGAUCAGCCACACUGGAACGGAGACACGAUCCAGACUCCUACGGGAGGCAGCAGUGGGGAAUAUUGCACAAUGGGGGAAACCCUGAUGCAGCCAUGCCGCGUGUGUGAAGAAGGCCUUCGGGUUGUAAAGCACUUUCAGCGAGGAGGAAAGGUUGAUGCCUAAUACGUAUCAACUGUGACGUUACUCGCAGAAGAAGCACCGGCUAACUCCGUGCCAGCCGCCGCGGUAAGAC